rnacentral:tRNA from 1 species
UGCUGUUCUAGUUCAGCUGGUAGAGCAUGAGUCUCUUAAUCUCAAGGUCGUGGGUUCGAGCCCCACAUUGGGUAA